rnacentral:lncRNA from 1 species
CCAUAUUGCGGCAAUGUUUGUAUAUGCAAUUUACGCAUGCGCAAUUUUGUAUAUAAAUACCUAGGACAGUGCUUUUAUAGCUCAGUAUAUUUUUGCCCCUUGAUGCGGAGAGGUCGAUAAAACAUGAAAAUAUUCCUAAAGUGGAAUUUCAAUAUUUUUCUCAUUUACUUUUCCUUUUGAAGAAUGAUUUUCGUGAUCGUUCAACUAUAGCUGACUGAGCAUUAUUAAACAAUCAGUUUAGACUACACCGAUUUCCAUAUUGCUCCAAUGUUUGUAUAUGCAGUCUACGCAUGCGCAACUUUGUAUUUAAAUGGCCAGGACAGUGAUUUUAUAGCUCCGACCGAUUUUGCACUUUGAAGCGGAAAGGUCAGUAAUACAUGAAAAUAUUUCGUAGUUAUUAUUUUAAUAUUUCUCUAAUUUUCUUUUCCUUUAAAAGGAUGAUGUUCGUGUUUGUUCAACUAUAGCGGACUGAGAGUUAAUAAACAAUACUGUUUAGACUACCCCGAUUUCCAUAUUGCCCCAAUUUUUGUAUUUGCAGUAUACGCAUGCGCAACUUUGUAUAUAAAUACCUAGGACAGAGCUUUUAUAGCUCAGUAUGUUUUUGCCCCUUGAUGCGGAGAGGUCGAUAAAACGUGAAAAUAGUCCAAAAAAUUAAUUUAAUUUUUUUUCUAAUUUACUUUUCCUUUUGAAGCAUGAUGAACGUUAUUGUUCAACUACAGCGGUCUAUGCCUUUAUAAACAAGGCAGUUUAGACUAUCCCGAUUUCCAUAUUGCGGCAAUGUUUGUAUAUGCAAUUUACGCAUGCGCAAUUUUGUAUAUAAAUACCUAGGACAGUGCUUUUAUAGCUCAGUAUAUUUUUGCCCCUUGAUGCGGAGAGGUCGAUAAAACAUGAAAAUAUUCAUAAGGUGGAAUUUCAAUAUUUUUCUCAUUUACUUUUCCUUUUGAAGAAUGAUUUUCGUGAUCGUUCAACUAUGGCGGACUCAGCAUUAAUAAACAAGUCUGUUUAGACUAUACUGAUUUUCAUAUUGCGGCAAUGUUUGUACAUGCAGUCUACACAUGCGCAACUUUGUAUUUAAAUGGCUAGGACAGUGAUUUUAUAGCUCCGACCGAUUUUGCACUUUGAAGCGGAAAGGAUGAUGUUCGUGUUUGUUCAACUAUAGCGGACUGCGAGUUAAUAAACAAUACUGUUUAGACUACCCCGAUUUCCAUAUUGCCCCAAUGUUUGUAUUUGCAGUAUACGCAUGCGCAACUUUGUAUAUAAAUACCUAGGACAGAGCUUUUAUAGCUCAGUAUGUUUUUGCCCUAUAAAACGGAUUGGUCGGUAAAAUGUGAAAAUAUUCCAAAAGAAUAAUUUAUAUAUUUUUCUAAUUUACUUUUCCUUUUGAAGGAUGAUGAACGUUAUUGUUCAACUAUAGCGGACUCAGCAUUAAUAAACAAGUCUGUUUAGACUAUACUGAUUUCCAUAUUGCGGCAAUGUUUGUACAUGCAGUCUACACAUGCGCAACUUUGUAUUUAAAUGGCCAGGACAGUGAUUUUAUAGCUCCGACCGAUUUUGCACUUUGAAGCGGAAAGGAUGAUGUUCGUGAUUGUUCAACUAUAGCGGACUGAGAGUUAAUAAACAAGUCUGUUUAGACUAAACCGAUUUCCAUAUUGCGGCAAUGUUUGUAUAUGCAAUUUAAGCAUACGCAAUUUUGUAUAUAA